rnacentral:lncRNA from 1 species
UGCUGGGUAGCCUCAUCUCCAGACUUCAACAGCAACCCAAGAUGGAACAUCACUGUGGAUGGGCAAGUAGUAUUAACUGUCCAAUUAACUCAUCAGCAAAGCCCUAAUUUCUAUUUAUAUCUGUUGUUCUUUCUCUCAAAUAGGUGUGAGAUUAAUGGCAGUGAGUUUGCUGCAGAGUUCUGCCCGGUGCCUGUUAGCCCCCGGGUGAGACACCCUCCUCACUUUAAAAGGCUGGCAGUAAGGACCCUGGCACAGCAACUGGAACAGGUGUAUGUACACUGUUUGGUGGCAGUGUGCUCUCCUACCAACGUACAACCUGGCAGCACCUGCAGAGGACAGUGCAGCUCAAGCAGGGAGAGGAAAGGCUUUCCAGGUCACCCUUCCCACAGUCUCCAGGGCUAUGUACUUGCUGGACCAGUAUGGAUUGUUGCUCCAGAUCGAAGAUGACACACAUAAACUGGAUUUGGUAAGAACACCAGGCCCUGUGUACUCACCCCGAGAGGUCACCAUGCUUUGUGACACCAGCGAUGCAGAGCCUGUCCUCAAGGAC